UACGGAGGGAGCUAGCGUUGUUCGGAAUUACUGGGCGUAAAGCGCGCGUAGGCGGCUUUGUAAGUUAGAGGUGAAAGCCCCGGGGGCUCAACCCCGGAAUUGCCUUUAAGACUGCAUCGCUUGAAUCCGGGAGAGGUGAGUGGAAUUCCGAGUGUAGAGGUGAAAUUCGUAGAUAUUCGGAAGAACACCAGUGGCGAAGGCGGCUCACUGGACCGGCAUUGACGCUGAGGUGCGAAAGCGUGGGAGGCAAGCAACGAUGAUAACGAACCGAGUCAGACCAGA
rnacentral:rRNA from 1 species